rnacentral:rRNA from 1 species
GACGAACGCUGGCGGCGUGCUUAACACAUGCAAGUCGAACGGAAAGGCCCUGCUUUUGUGGGGUGCUCGAGUGGCGAACGGGUGAGUAACACGUGAGUAACCUGCCCUUGACUUUGGGAUAACUUCAGGAAACUGGGGCUAAUACCGGAUAGGAGCUCCUGCUGCAUGGUGGGGGUUGGAAAGUUUCGGCGGUUGGGGAUGGACUCGCGGCUUAUCAGCUUGUUGGUGGGAUAGUGGCUUACCAAGGCUUUGACGGGUAGCCGGCCUGAGAGGGUGACCGGCCACAUUGGGACUGAGAUACGGCCCAGACUCCUACGGGAGGCAGCAGUGGGGAAUAUUGCACAAUGGGCGGAAGCCUGAUGCAGCAACGCCGCGUGCGGGAUGACGGCCUUCGGGUUGUAAACCGCUUUCGCCUGUGACGAAGCGUGAGUGACGGUAAUGGGUAAAGAAGCACCGGCUAACUACGU